UAAUACGGAGGGUGCAAGCGUUAUCCGGAUUCACUGGGUUUAAAGGGUGCGUAGGAGGGCAGGUAAGUCAGUGGUGAAAUCUCCAAGCUUAACUUGGAAACAGCCGUUGAUACUAUCUGUCUUGAAUAUUGUGGAGGUGAGCGGAAUAUGUCAUGUAGCGGUGAAAUGCUUAGAUAUGACAUAGAACACCAAUUGCGAAGACAGCUCACUACUCAAUCAUUGACUCUGAGGCACGAAAGCGUGGGGAUCAAACAG
rnacentral:rRNA from 1 species